CCUACGGGUGGCAGCAGUGAGGAAUAUUGGUCAAUGGGCGAGAGCCUGAACCAGCCAAGUCGCGUGAAGGAUGACGGCCCUACGGGUUGUAAACUUCUUUUGUCAGGGAGCAAUUUAGUCCACGUGUGGUCUUAGCGAUAGUCCCUGUAGACAAAGCCUCGGCUACCUCCGUGCCAGCAGCCGCGGUAAUACGGAGGAUGCGAGCGUUAUCCGGUUUUAUUGGGUUUAAAGGUUGCGUAGGCGGAAUAUCAGUUCAGCGGUAAAUAUUCGGGGCUCAACCCCGUCCUGCCGUCGGAACUGGGUGCCUGGAGUGGGCGAGAAGUAGGCGGAAUGCGUGGUGUAGCGGUGAAAUGCAUAGAUAUCACGCAGAACCCCGAUUGCGAAGGCAGCAUACCGGAGCCCGACUGACGCUGAGGCACGAAAGUGCGGGUAUCGAACAGGAUUAGAUACCCGAGUAGUC
rnacentral:rRNA from 1 species